UACGGAGGAUCCAAGCGUUAUCCGGAUUCAUUGGGGUUAAAGGGUGCGUAGGCGGACUAAUAAGUCAGUGGUGAAAGCCCUCAGCUUAACUGAGGAACUGCCAUUGAUACUGUUAAUCUUGAGUACAUUUGAUGUGGGCGGAAUGUGUCAUGUAGCGGUGAAAUGCUUAGAUAUGACACAGAACACCGAUUGCGAAGGCAGCUCACAAAACUGUAACUGACGCUGAGGCACGAAAGCGUGGGUAUCAAACAGG
rnacentral:rRNA from 1 species